CCUAAUUCUACUAGCAGCCUCCCCACUGUCUGUCUCUUCCCCUUUCCAUUCUUGACAAAGCUCCAUCAAUUCUUUUCUCCAGACACAAAAUGGUUACUCCAUUUUAGUGCAAAUCCUUUCUUUAAACGUCUCAAUCCUCAGAAGACACAUUAAAAUCUUCAAGGACCAGAGAAGAUCUGGCCAUUUUGAGUAAAAUCUUAAUCAAGCCACGUGAAGAAACCUCAACGUUUGGAUUAACACGAGUUUUGACUCGAUUUUGAAUCUUUGAUUCCAAGAUCCCGCCCAAAUCUUGAACCUAUCAAACCCUAAUCCUAUUCUAUAAAUACCAACGUUUUGAGACCAUUUUGGCAGGGUUGAGCAGCAACUACAUCUCACUCUAAACGAAGAACAGCCAUUACAUAGCCCUAAAAAAACAAAGGAAAAACAGCCACACAUUACUUUAAACUACUCUAUUUUACCUUUCUGUUCGAGAUUUUUGGUUGCUUUGGAGGUGUGCAAGCUCGACGACCUUUGAGCGUAGACCCUUAGAUUGGGGACCGAAGAACCCUAGUUUGCUGCACUCAAAAAAGAGCACUCCUGAGUCUUGCGUCGAGACUCGAUAUCAUCGCUAGACCUGAGACUUGCAUUCGCAUCUUCAGUAGCACCUCUCACCCUCUCAAAAUGCACCCGAACAGAAUACAAAGGAGGGGGAAUAAGCAAUGGAUAUUCCCUCCUAUUGUGUCGAUCGAAGUCUUUGCUUUACAUCAUUCUUUCCAUUUCUCUGGGCUCGCUAAUAUGUUUUAUUUCCUUGCAUAGACCCAUUUAAAUUAAGAGUACUUCAGGUAGUUUAUCUUACGGGGUAGUUUAGAGGUUGCAGAUUUUAGAGCCCGAGAUAUUUUUUUUGAAGUAACAUAUUAAAAGCUCAUCAAUUCAGCCUA